AACGAACGCUGGCGGCAGGCCUAACACAUGCAAGUCGAGCGAGCAUUUCGGUGCUAGCGGCGGACGGGUGAGUAACGCGUGGGAACGUGCCCUUUUCUGCGGAAUAGUCCUGGGAAACUGGGGGUAAUACCGCAUACGCCCUUUUGGGGAAAGAUUUAUCGGAGAAGGAUCGGCCCGCGUUGGAUUAGGUAGUUGGUGGGGUAAUGGCCCACCAAGCCGACGAUCCAUAGCUGGUUUGAGAGGAUGAUCAGCCACACUGGGACUGAGACACGGCCCAGACUCCUACGGGAGGCAGCAGUGGGGAAUCUUAGACAAUGGGGGCAACCCUGAUCUAGCCAUGCCGGGGGAGUGAUGAAGGCCUUAGGGUUGUAAAGCUCUUUCAGCUGGGAAGAUAAUGACGGUACCAGCAGAAGAAGCCCCGGCUAACUCCGU
rnacentral:rRNA from 1 species